GUCUAUAGCCAUGCCACCCUGAACAUACCCGAUCCGGUCUGAUCUCGGAAGCUAAGCAGGGUUGGGGCUGGUUAGUUCUUGGAUGGGAGACCACCUAGGAAGACUGGGUGCUGUAGGCG
rnacentral:rRNA from 1 species